AAUAUAAAAAAAAAUCCAGGUUUCGUGUUUUUCAAUUUAAAAGUUCUGUUUAGAGCCCACCAAUUAGGACUCCAUUUGGUUGGAACCAGUCUGGAUAUAUAGAAAAAGCAAUCCCCUCGUCAUCAUGAUACAUAGUACAAUGUACCUUAUGGCCUGGCUGAGGAUAGCAACGCUUAAUCACGUUCAUAGGGAAGGAAAUAGAUGUGCGGAUGCUUUAGCUAAUGAAGCUUUUACAAGAAAUACAUUUUUGUUUUCAGUUUUUAUAUGUUUUUUAACCAAUUUUUUUGGUCUAGAUGUAGUAGACGAUGAUGCUAAAGCCUAGAGGGGUGACUCACCCCAGACUUGUGUACGCUAAGCUUCUUUUAUCUAAGUUCUAGUUCUACCAAAAAAAAAAAUUAAAAAAAAAAUCUAUAAAUAAAGGCAUACAGCAUAGUUGAGGUAAAAUUGGCCUGGUUUGGGCGUUUAGUUUUUUGUCUUUUGUUUUUUUGUAGAUAAUUCAAUGAUUGUUAAUUUGUGUUUGAUAACUCUUGCAGUAUAUGUGAUGUUACCCUAUCCCAAAAACCCUUCUUUUAUUCUCAAUAUACUCUCAGUCGUAUGAUCAUUUUCGAAAUUUCUAUGUUUUUUUAUAUUUUCACCAUAAUAGGAGAGAACUUGAGGAUAUAGAAUCCCUAACCAAAUGCAUGAACUAUACCAUGCAGAGAGAGAGAAUCUCCGGUGGGGUUUGUACUUUGGUCAUGGAUUUUCCAUCAAUAAUGUGAUUGUUGAAUUGGAUUGGAAGAAGCUAAUUUUCAGUACUUUCCAAUAUCUCUCUAACCUUUUGGGAAGUUGAGGCCAUUUUGCAACAAGAUCUACAAUCCUCAAUUUUUUUUGGUUAAUUUAUCCCACAUCAAUGCCUCGUAAGCAAGGCUGUUCGUUAGGUAAUGUCACGUGAUACUUCAGUACUAUUUAAUAAUUUUCGCUCAUUAGGUGGCUCGUGCAUGGAGACAGAAGGUUUUUCCUAGUAAUCUUGUAUUUAAACAAUUGUUGAUCUUUUUCUUUUCUCUUGUUUGUUUUUUCUUUCUUUGAUCUUUGUUUUUCAAGUCCACGACCAAAAGAUACAAUGGUGAUGGAAUUCAGUCAAAGGAAUGGCGGACAAAGAGGUGGCUAGAAAGACAGUGUUUGGAGGUAGUUGAUGAAGCUCAACCAUUUUGACAUCACAAGUAAGCGUGGACAUGUUACUGAGGGCAGUUGCAGCACCACCCAUUAAAAUUAUAAUUUUGAUCAAUUACAAAGUUUUUGUUUUCUGCUUUGUCUGCUAUGACCCUUGGCAACAAGUGUGUUGGAAGUUUUGUUAGGUCAAUCUAGCAGACAAUGCCACGUCUUACGUAUCCCUUAAUCUUGAUUCGAUUUGUAUUUUAAUUUUUAGCGUUCCUAUCUUUAGUUUCCCUUCAAAAAAUCUAUAUAUAUAUAUUGUUUCUUUGGGGUGACGUUGAAGAAUUUCAUUGAAGGGUAUCGUCAAAAAAAAAAAUCUGUGUCCUUUAGUUCCUGUAAAGCUAUUUUGAUUCGUGAAUUGAAUCAGAUGAAAUAAAAAAUUU